rnacentral:rRNA from 1 species
UACAGAGGUGGCAAGCGUUGUUCGGAAUUACUGGGCGUAAAGGGCUCGUAGGCGGCCAACUAAGUCAGACGUGAAAUCCCUCGGCUUAACCGGGGAACUGCAUCUGAUACUGGAUGGCUUGAGUUCGGGAGAGGGAUGCGGAAUUCCAGGUGUAGCGGUGAAAUGCGUAGAUAUCUGGAGGAACACCGGUGGCGAAGGCGGCAUCCUGGACCGACACUGACGCUGAGGGAGCGAAAAGCCAGGGGGAGCCAAAGCGGG